rnacentral:rRNA from 1 species
AUACGUAGGGAGCGAGCGUUGUCCGGAAUUACUGGGUGUAAAGGGAGCGUAGGCGGGAUGGCAAGUCAGAUGUGAAAACUAUGGGCUCAACCCAUAGACUGCAUUUGAAACUGUUGUUCUUGAGUGAAGUAGAGGUAAGCGGAAUUCCUGGUGUAGCGGUGAAAUGCGUAGAUAUCAGGAGGAACAUCGGUGGCGAAGGCGGCUUCCUGGGCUUUUACUGACGCUGAGGCUCGAAAGCGGAGGGAACGAACAGGAGUAGAUACCCUGGUAGUCCACGCUAUAAACGAUGAUUACUAGGUGUGGGGGGACUGACCCCUUCCGUGCCGCAGUUAACACAAUAAGUAAUCCGCCUGGGGAGUACGGCCGCAAGGUUGAAACUCAAAGGAAUUGGCGGGG